AGAGUUUGAUCAUGGCUCAGAAUCAACGCUGGCGGCGCGCUUAACACAUGCAAGUCGCACGAGAAAGGGAGCAAUCCUGAGUAUAGUGGCGCACGGGUGAGUAACACGUGGAUGAUCUACCUCCUUGUGGGGAAUAACCCUGGGAAACCGGGGCUAAUACCGCAUACGUUCGAGAGAAGAAAGCCGAAAGGCGCAGGGAGAGGAGUCCGCGGUCGAUUAGCUAGUUGGCAGGGUAAUGGCCUACCAAGGCGACGAUCGAUAGCCGGCCUGAGAGGGCACACGGCCACACUGGCACUGAAACACGGGCCAGACUCCUACGGGAGGCAGCAGUGGGGAAUCUUGCACAAUGGGGGAAACCCUGAUGCAGCGACGCCGCGUGAACGAUGAAGCCCUUCGGGGUGUAAAGUUCUUUCGACGGGGACGAUAAUGACGGUACCCGGAGAAGAAGCUGCGGCUAACUACGUGCCAGCAGCCGCGGUAAUACGUAGGCAGCAAGCGUUGUUCGGAAUUACUGGGCGUAAAGAGUGCGUAGGCGGUUAACUAAGUUUGGUGUGAAAUCUCCCGGCUUAACUGGGAGGGUGCGCCGAAAACUGGCUAGCUAGAGUGUGGGAGAGGAUAGUGGAAUUCCUGGUGUAGCGGUGAAAUGCGUAGAUAUAGGAAGGAAUACCAGGCGAAGGCGGCCUCCUGGAUCGACACUGACGCUAAGGCGCGAAAGCGUGGGGAGCAAACAGGAUUAGAUACCCUAGUAGUCC
rnacentral:rRNA from 1 species